rnacentral:rRNA from 1 species
GACGAACGCUGGCGGCGUGCUUAACACAUGCAAGUCGAACGGAAAGGCCCUGCUUUUGUGGGGUGCUCGAGUGGCGAACGGGUGAGUAACACGUGAGUAACCUGCCCUUGACUUUGGGAUAACUUCGGGAAACUGGGGCUAAUACCGGAUAGGAGCUCCUGCUGCAUGGUGGGGGUUGGAAAGUUUCGGCGGUUGGGGAUGGACUCGCGGCUUAUCAGCUUGUUGGUGGGGUAGUGGCUUACCAAGGCUUUGACGGGUAGCCGGCCUGAGAGGGUGACCGGCCACAUUGGGACUGAGAUACGGCCCAGACUCCUACGGGAGGCAGCAGUGGGGAAUAUUGCACAAUGGGCGGAAGCCUGAUGCAGCAGCGCCGCGUGCGGGAUGACGGCCUUCGGGUUGUAAACCGCUUUCGCCUGUGACGAAGCGUGAGUGACGGUAAUGGGUAAAGAAGCACCGGCUAACUACGUG